rnacentral:lncRNA from 1 species
GCUCCGCAGGGCGCAGCUUUAUACGACCGCAGAGGUCGUACCCUGAACGGUUGGGGCUAGUAUGGACACAACAUUCAAACUGGAUACAGCUCUGAAUUUGGAUUGUGAUUAAAUAGUUGACACAGCAUAGGUUUCUGACACAGAAUGAAUGUGGUCUAAUGAACUUAAAAUAUUUUUUUUUUUGCUUUUGAGCAAUUCACUAUGCUGUUGAAUAUUAAUCCUUUGAUAUUUGAAGAAAUUUUCUUCUUUAUUUCUGAAAUCUGAAAUAAGAAAAAU